GGGCCUAUGGUCUAGUGGUACGACACCACAUUCGCAUUGUGGAAACGCGAGUUCGAUUCUCGCUAGGUCCA
rnacentral:tRNA from 1 species